rnacentral:rRNA from 1 species
GACGAACGCUGGCGGCGUGCUUAACACAUGCAAGUCGAACGGAAAGGCCCUGCUUUUGUGGGGUGCUCGAGUGGCGAACGGGUGAUUAACACGUGAGUAACCUGCCCUUGACUUUGGGUUAACUUCAGGAUACUUGGUCUCAUACCGGAUAGGAGCUCCUGCUGCGUGGUGGGUGUUGGAUAGUUUCGGCGGUUGGGGAUGGACUCGCGGCUUAUCGGCUUGUUGGUGGGGUAGUGGCUUACCAAGGCCUUGACGGGUAGCCGGCCUGAGAGGGGGACCGGGGACAAUGGGACUGAGAGACGGACCAGACGCGAACGGGAGGCAGCAGGGGGGAAUAUGGCACAAUGAGCGGAAGUCUGAGGAAGCAACGCCGGGUGCGGGAUGACGGCCUUCGGGGUGUAAAACGCUUUCGGCUGUGACGAAGCGUGAGUGACGGUAACGGAUAAAGAAGCACCGGCUAACUACGUG